UGGCCAGACUCCUACGGGAGGCAGCAGUGAGGAAUAUUGGUCAAUGGGCGCGAGCCUGAACCAGCCAAGUAGCGUGAAGGAUGACUGCCCUACGGGUUGUAAACUUCUUUUAUAAAGGAAUAAAGUGAGGCACGUGUGCCUUUUUGUAUGUACUUUAUGAAUAAGGAUCGGCUAACUCCGUGCCAGCAGCCGCGGUAAUACGGAGGAUGCGAGCGUUAUCCGGAUUUAUUGGGUUUAAAGGGUGCGUAGGUGGUUAAUUAAGUCAGCGGUGAAAGUUUGUGGCUCAACCAUAAAAUUGCCGUUGAAACUGGUUGACUUGAGUAUAUUUGAGGUAGGCGGAAUGCGUGGUGUAGCGGUGAAAUGCAUAGAUAUCACGCAGAACUCCGAUUGCGAAGGCAGCUUACUAAACUAUAACUGACACUGAAGCACGAAAGCGUGGGGAUCAAACAGGAUUAGAUACCCUUGUAAA
rnacentral:rRNA from 1 species